AUUGAACGCUGGCGGCAUGCCUUACACAUGCAAGUCGAACGGCAGCACGGGGGCAACCCUGGUGGCGAGUGGCGAACGGGUGAGUAAUGCAUCGGAACGUGUCCUCUUGUGGGGGAUAACCAGUCGAAAGACUGGCUAAUACCGCAUAAGAUCGAGAGAUGAAAGCGGGGGACCGCAAGGCCUCGCGCGAGAGGAGCGGCCGAUGCCCGAUUAGCUAGUUGGCGGGGUAAAAGCCCACCAAGGCGACGAUCGGUAGCUGGUCUGAGAGGACGACCAGCCACACUGGGACUGAGACACGGCCCAGACUCCUACGGGAGGCAGCAGUGGGGAAUUUUGGACAAUGGGGGAAACCCUGAUCCAGCCAUGCCGCGUGUGUGAAGAAGGCCUUCGGGUUGUAAAGCACUUUCGGACGGAACGAAAUCGCGCGGGCGAACACCUCGCGUGGAUGACGGUACCGUAAGAAGAAGCACCGGCUAACUACGUG
rnacentral:rRNA from 1 species